UCAGAGAUCUUUAACGACUCAUUUAAGACGAUUUAAACAACUCGAACCACUGUAGGAGAACCAGGUUAAAUACGACAUAUGAAUCAACUGCCGUGACAAAUGACCCAAAGCCAAAGAUGAUUCAAAUUAUAUUCAACAUAUGUGAAGUAUGAAAGGAGCAAGCGUUUGCUUUAUAUUUGUGUAUUAUACCCGUUAAUUCUCAGUUUUCAGAACUGACUAAUUGAUAACUGUAGUCUAUAAAGAUAGUUGUUAUCGUUGUGAAGAACAUGACUUAAAUCAGAAAUCGCCAUUUUUUACAAUGCCAAGCUUAAAUUGUUCAAUUGUUGGAUAUGGUAGUUUUCACAAAAAAGAACAUCUCGCUUUCACAGGAUGCGUUGAAUGCUUUGAAAUUAAAGUUCAAGAACCAAAGAAGAUGGCAACAUUGUGUGUGUUUUAAUGCUUGAUGAAAUGUCAAUUCACAAACAAGUAAAAUGGGAUGGUCAUAAAGUUUGUGUUUAUGGUAAUAUUGUGUACUGAGAUUGAUGAUGACUCACUGUAGAUGUAUAACUCCAAAUUGUAAAAUGCAUUGAGUGUUAUAUAACUUAAUGGUUAAAUUUGCUGUUUAUUUCUUUUUAAUUUCAGUUUUUGAUUUACAAAAAAUAUUGAGCUAGUUUGCCUAUCAGUGUACAAAAUGGACAUUUUUCAUUUGCAUCACUGCUUUUCUUAAAGAAAACUUAUUUGACUUUUCAAA